rnacentral:rRNA from 1 species
UACGUAGGGACCAAGCGUUGUUCGGAUUUACUGGGCGUAAAGGGCGCGUAGGUGGCCAACUAAGUCAGACGUGAAAUCCCUCGGCUUAACCGGGGAACUGCGUCUGAUACUGGAUGGCUUGAGUUCGGGAGAGGUGAGUGGAACUGCGAGUGUAGAGGUGAAAUUCGUAGAUAUUCGCAAGAACACCAGUGGCGAAGGCGGCUCACUGGCCCGAUACUGACGCUGAGGCACGAAAGCGUGGGGAGCAAACAGGG